AAGUCGAGCGGACAGAUGGGAGCUUGCUCCCUGAUGUUAGCGGCGGACGGGUGAGUAACACGUGGGUAACCUGCCUGUAAGACUGGGAUAACUCCGGGAAACCGGGGCUAAUACCGGAUGCUUGUUUGAACCGCAUGGUUCAAACAUAAAAGGUGGCUUCGGCUACCACUUACAGAUGGACCCGCGGCGCAUUAGCUAGUUGGUGAGGUAACGGCUCACCAAGGCAACGAUGCGUAGCCGACCUGAGAGGGUGAUCGGCCACACUGGGACUGAGACACGGCCCAAACUCCUACGGGAGGCAGCAGUAGGGAAUCUUCCGCAAUGGACGAAAGUCUGACGGAGCAACGCCGCGUGAGUGAUGAAGGUUUUCGGAUCGUAAAGCUCUGUUGUUAGGGAAGAACAAGUGCCGUUCAAAUAGGGCGGCACCUUGACGGUACCUAACCAGAAAGCCACGGCUAACUACGUGCCAGCAGCCGCGGUAAUACGUAGGUGGCAAGCGUUGUCCGGAAUUAUUGGGCGUAAAGGGCUCGCAGGCGGUUUCUUAAGUCUGAUGUGAAAGCCCCCGGCUCAACCGGGGAGGGUCAUUGGAAACUGGGGAACUUGAGUGCAGAAGAGGAGAGUGGAAUUCCACGUGUAGCGGUGAAAUGCGUAGAGAUGUGGAGGAACACCAGUGGCGAAGGCGACUCUCUGGUCUGUAACUGACGCUGAGGAGCGAAAGCGUGGGGAGCGAACAGGAUUAGAUACCCUGGUAGUCCACGCCGUAAACGAUGAGUGCUAAGUGUUAGGGGGUUUCCGCCCCUUAGUGCUGCAGCUAACGCAUUAAGCACUCCGCCUGGGGAGUACGGUCGCAAGACUGAAACUCAAAGGAAUUGACGGGGGCCCGCACAAGCGGUGGAGCAUGUGGUUUAAUUCGAAGCAACGCGAAGAACCUUACCAGGUCUUGACAUCCUCUGACAAUCCUAGAGAUAGGACGUCCCCUUCGGGGGCAGAGUGACAGGUGGUGCAUGGUUGUCGUCAGCUCGUGUCGUGAGAUGUUGGGUUAAGUCCCGCAACGAGCGCAACCCUUGAUCUUAGUUGCCAGCAUUCAGUUGGGCACUCUAAGGUGACUGCCGGUGACAAACCGGAGGAAGGUGGGGAUGACGUCAAAUCAUCAUGCCCCUUAUGACCUGGGCUACACACGUGCUACAAUGGACAGAACAAAGGGCAGCGAAACCGCGAGGUUAAGCCAAUCCCACAAAUCUGUUCUCAGUUCGGAUCGCAGUCUGCAACUCGACUGCGUGAAGCUGGAAUCGCUAGUAAUCGCGGAUCAGCAUGCCGCGGUGAAUACGUUCCCGGGCCUUGUACACACCGCCCGUCACACCACGAGAGUUUGUAACACCCGAAGUCGGUGAGGUAACCUUUUAGGAGCCAGCCGCCGAA
rnacentral:rRNA from 1 species